rnacentral:rRNA from 1 species
UACGAAGGGGGCUAGCGUUGCUCGGAAUCACUGGGCGUAAAGCGCACGUAGGCGGCUUUCUAAGUCAGGGGUGAAAUCCUGGAGCUCAACUCCAGAACUGCCUUUGAUACUGGAGAGCUUGAGUCCGGGAGAGGUGAGUGGAACUCCGAGUGUAGAGGUGAAAUUCGUAGAUAUUCGGAAGAACACCAGUGGCGAAGGCGGCUCACUGGCCCGGUACUGACGCUGAUGUGCGAAAGCGUGGGGAGCAAACAGA